GACAGAGGUCCCGAGCGUUAGGCGGAAUCACUGGGCUUAAAGCGUGUGUAGGCGGAUGCCUAAGUACCUUGUGAAAUCCCACGGCUCACCCGUGGAACUGCUCGGUAUACUGGGUGUCUUGAGCCACUUAGGGCUACCGGAACAAAUGGUGGAGCGGUGAAAUGCGUAGAUAUCAUUUGGAACGCCAAUGGUGAAAACAGGUAGCUGGGAGUGUGCUGACGCUGAGACACGAAAGCCAGGGGAGCAAACGGG
rnacentral:rRNA from 1 species